CUGUCUAUGUUUUUUUUUUUGUUUGAUCGUCAACAGUAAUUUAAAUCAUGCAUGUUUUAAGGAGAUUAAUUAUAAAGAAAUUAUUUGAGACUAAAUCGGUAGUUUCUACAAACAUAUUUUUGUUCACGCAACCUAGUAAGUUAGUUAAAAAUUUAGCAGGCAACACAGCUGAACUUGCGUCGAAUACAGAUGAUUUUAAGACGAUUUAUAGGUUACCAACCAUACAAUUUUGCACCAUUGUUAACAGACUGAAGUUUGAUGUGACAAUUCUUGCCGGUGUCGUAACUCCAGCGAGUUUUGUAUACUCGCAACUGUAUAAUGAGGGAAUUGUAGUGAUUCAUAUAUUUGGUGCACUGUGUGGUUUUGGUUGUUUAGCUCUACAUACACUAGGAUUUUUAUGCAACAAAAUUAUUGGUGCAAUGUACAUUUCUUCUGACUCAACAUUGGUGAAGAUAUCGUACUGCAAUUACUGGGGUCGGCGGAAGGACUUGGUAGUUCCUGUCAACGAUGUUGUUCCUUUGUCCGAACUUCAAGAUAAAAUCACAGACCCAUACAUUAUCUUUCGUCGAUACUCAAGUACUGAAACUUUAAAGUUGUCUUUGAGGUUUGGUUCAGUUUUGGAUGCAGAAAACUUAAGAAAAGUUCUUGGACAUCCUGAAUAGUUAAAAUAAUAAAAUGCAAAAUAAUUUAUUUUAUCUUUGCUGAUUAUUGUAGUUGCAUAGCAAACUGUGCGAUUUGUAAAAAUUUGUAAAUUGCCUUUUUUAUUUUCAAUGGUGUUGAAAUACAAUAAAAUAAAUUAUUUCUUCAAA